rnacentral:sRNA from 1 species
CUGAUAGCCCUGGAGACUGAUAUCCUUGAUUAUCACAGAGCAGGAGCAACAUGAGAAACGGCAGAGCAAGCAUUCCACACUCUGUCCUGUCAAUGUACUUUAAUCCUUCUGUGAAGGGACCACCUCCAGGGGUGAGAGGAUAGUUCAGUCUCCAUGGAGAGUCCUGUCCUGGGCACCU